UAUACGUUGGUGUAUAGGGCAUAAAAAGUUUUGAUCUUUUAGGGAAUGGUGUAAAUCCGUUAUGUAUAA
rnacentral:tRNA from 1 species